rnacentral:sRNA from 1 species
GCCAGGUGUGGUAGCACACACCUGUAAUCCUAGCAACUUGGGAGGCUGAGGCAGGAGGAUUGUAAGUUCAAAGCCAGCCUCAG